rnacentral:rRNA from 1 species
GACGAACGCUGGCGGCGUGCUUAACACAUGCAAGUCGAACGGGGAAGCGCGGUCCUUUUGGGUGGGGGUGGGUGAGGGGCGGACGGGUGAGCAACAGGUGGGUAACCUGGCCCGUACUUCCGGAUAACCGCAGGAGAGGGUGGCGAAUACGGGAUAUACUGGGUCGGUCGCAUGAUGGGUCGGGGUAGGAUGUUGGUGGGGUGGUGGAUGGGCACGGGGCCGAUCAGUUUGUUGGUGGGGUGGUGGCCUACCAAGGCUGUGACGGGUAGCCGGCCUGGGAGGGUGGCCGGUCGCGCUGGGGCUGAGGCUCGGCCCCGACUCCUACGGGAGGCAGCCGUGGCGACUACUGCACAAUGGGGGCGAGCCUGUUGCAGCGACGCCGCGUGCGUGAUGGAGCCCUUCGGGUUGUGAGCCUCUUUCGCCAGUGAAGCAGGCCUGCCUUGUUUGUGGGUGUGUUGACGGUAGCUGGAGAAGAAGCGCCGGCUAACUACGUG